rnacentral:rRNA from 1 species
GACGAACGCUGGCGGCGUGCCUAAUACAUGCAAGUCGAGCGAAUCAAAGGGAGCUUGCUCCCUGAGGUUAGCGGCGGACGGGUGAGUAACACGUGGGCAACCUGCCUAUAAGACUGGGAUAACUUCGGGAAACCGGAGCUAAUACCGGAUAAUUCUUAUCAACUCAUGUUGGUAAGCUGAAAGAUGGUUUACGCUAUCACUUAUAGAUGGGCCCGCGGCGCAUUAGCUAGUUGGUGAGGUAACGGCUCACCAAGGCGACGAUGCGUAGCCGACCUGAGAGGGUGAUCGGCCACACUGGGACUGAGACACGGCCCAGACUCCUACGGGAGGCAGCAGUAGGGAAUCUUCCGCAAUGGACGAAAGUCUGACGGAGCAACGCCGCGUGAGUGAUGAAGGUUUUCGGAUCGUAAAACUCUGUUGUUAGGGAAGAACAAGUACUAGAGUAACUGCUAGUACCUUGACGGUACCUAACCAGAAAGCCACGGCUAACUACGUGCCAGCCGCCGCGGUAAAAC